CAGGCACACACGUGUGGUCCCUGCUACUUGGGAGGCUGAAUCAGGAGAAUCGUUUGAACCCAGGAGGUGGAGGUUGCAGUGAGCUGAGAUCGCGCCACUGCACUCCAGCCCGGGUGACAGAGUGAGACUCUACCUCAAAAUAAAUAAAUAAAUACAUACAUAUAUUCAUACAUUACAAUAACACUAAACAUCCAUAGGGUAAAAAAUGGGGGCUUUCAUUUGAUGGAAAACUUCAGACACAGCUCUUUUCUCAUGUGAAACAGGACUGACUAAUAUCCGCUGGCUUCCUCAGAAUUGGUUAAGAGGAGAUACUUGAUAUCCCGGCACCUUUUUCUGAUAGGCUGUUGACUGUAGCCUUAGCCUUUCUCAGCCCCUGGCCUGACUCCUCCCCUUCCCUGGGUUGUCUAUAUCUACCACCUCUAUAUCUACCACAUUUUAUUUAUGAUGGUUGUGUUGUGGGGUGAGGUGGGAAACUUGGCACUGGCUAGGUCUCCUUUGCAAUCAGCCUCCCUACAGAGAAAUUGGCCAUUAAUAAUUGUAUUAGGAAACAUUUUAUUCUUGCAGAGGGAGACCCAUGCUUUACAAAAGAUUCCUGACAUUUGGUAGCUUGGCCUAGUUCUGGGGUGCAAAAUUAGGAAGCCCAUCGUUGCGGCAUACCUCAGCCAUAUUUCCACCCCUACCUUUAUCAGCUGUAAGGCUGUUAUUUUUAUCUUCAACUACCUGGCUUAUUUAUUUUCUCAAAAAGUUCAGAACUCAAAUGGGAAAAAGUAGUAUUCUUUAUUACCCCACUGAAAAGUAAGGGCUAAUUUAUCCAAGUCUGGUUCCUCACAGGCUGGCCCCUGAAACACUCCACAGAAACCAGCUACUGCUGUGAGUUUAAGACAAUCAACCCAACUUAUGGUAGAAUUCUGAAGUGGCGGUUUGGUUGGAUUGAUGCUCACCCAACCUAAAAUACUGAGUUAGUAGACCAUAGACCUGGGCUGCAUAUGGAGGUUCUACGUUGUUAUGCAGCUGCAGCCCCCAAAGCUUGACCCCAGCCUUUUGAUUUUGCCAACUGCUAAGUGCUGAGGUGAUGACCCAAAAAUGGAGGCCAAGGUUCUGCCACAUCAUAUUGCUGGGACCAUGGGUUUGGACCCCAGCCCUUGAUCACACCAUGGGAGCAGCUUAUACUCUCUCAAUCAUGCAAAUUUUUUUUUUUAAAGCCCUACAGCCAAAAGACUGAGGUUUCUCUUCCAAUGCUUGACGUUUGGCCCUGCUAGAUUCUUCUGUGCUGUUUGAAUGCAAUGGGCAACAGGGCUCACAUACCUGCGAUGGGUCUUUUCUCUGAAUUUCUCCCCUCCCUGUCAAUGUUCCAGAAGGGCCUGCUGUGUGUGUGCCCUGCUUGACCCUUCACCUCUGGUACUGUCACCCGUAACCCUCAGCAUCUGUUCAGAAACAGUGAUCAUAAUUCAUCCAGAGGUCUCUGAUGAUUCAUCCAGAGGUUUCCUAGGCAGGGAGCUUGAAUUCUGAGAACUUCAAGAUCACAAUGAAUGACAGAGAUGGUUCUUUAACACCGAGGUCUUUGGUCUCUAAAUUUUAUGUUAUUUGCCUGGGAGUUGGUACUUCCAUAAACAACUAUUGGGUCACAGAGAAAGGCCUGAUUCCCUUGUUGCUGUGGGAAUAGUUAAAUGCCUUGUCUUCCAGAAGUCUUUUUAUUAACCCCAGACAGCAGUUCCAGUGAUGGAUUUCACUGUAAAUAAGAAUAGCUCAUUUUUCUCUGCCCUCUAGAGUUCUUUUUUUUUAGUAGAUUUUUCAAAAUUUUACUGAAGCUGAAGAAAAAAAAAUAUAUAUCAAAAUUGAUAGCACCCAGAUGCUGCAGAAGUAGUGCUGCAGGUGAAAGAUACCAGGCUGAGACGAAUCUGGAAAAACGGGACUCUUGUAGUCGGAGCUCCAAGGAAAGACUGGAUAAUAGAAAAGGAAAGAUGGAAAAGCCAGAAAGAAGGAGAUGUUAUAAGAAAGAAAAGUAUACACCACACACAUAUGCGCGUGCACACACACACACACACACAGAGAGAGAGAGAGAGAGAGAGAGAGAAAACUUAUAAAAUUUUGAGUCUGUCCAUUGGUAAAUUACUCUGUUACAAGCCGGCAAUGAAAUUUGAAUGGUAGUUUCCAUUGCUCAAUCCCAUGGGAAGUUCUGAGUGUGUAGAGCAGUCAGGCCACUUUCAGUACUCUUGGGACCUCCGCAGACCAGGAGGGACUGUGAUCUUGAGAUCUUGAUGAUGCUCAACAUGUAUCUUGGUUCGCAAAGCAUCUUCAUGCAAAGGAUCUCGUUUUAGUUUCACAACCCACCCGCUGAAGUAGCUGAGUGGAAACUCUCCCCUUCUACAGAUAAGGGUAGAAAACAGUGACACCUAGGUCCAGGAGUAAAGAUAUUCACCCCUUCCGAAAAUAAUUUAUGAAUGAUUUAAAAUAGUUUUGUUGGGACGCAGACACAGGUACGGGAUACAAAAUGUAAAUGUGGAGCCUUAAACAUUAUAGUAUUUUAUUUGAUUUUGUGUUUUUUUAUUAUUAUUAUUAUUAUUAUUAUUAUUAUUAUUAUUAUUAUUUUGAGAUGGAGUCUUGCUUGGUCACCCAGGCUGGAGUGCAGUGGCAUGAUCUCUGCUCACUGCAGCCUCUGCCUCCCAGGUUCAGGCAAUUCUCCUGCCUCAGCCUCCAGAGUAGCUGGGAUUUCAGGCACCCACCACCAUGCCAGGCUAAUUUUUGUAUUUUUAGUAGAGACUGGGUUUCAUCAUGUUGCCCAGGUUGGUCUCGAACUCCUGACCUCAGGUGAUCCGCCCGACUCGGCCUCACAAAGUGCUGGGAUUACAGGCGUGAGCCACCGCACCUGGCCCAUUUUGGUAGUUUAAUAACCACACACGCAGGACCAUCUAGGGCAAGUUCUGAGUUUGGGGGCUCCCUUGUGUAGUUCCUUCUUUUUGAAUCUGUGCUGAGGAUGAUUUUCUUUAGAUCGUGGCAGAAGUGGUACUAUGCUCAUUGCAGGCCUCAGUCUUAAGAAGUCCUAAUGACCUCUUCUUUUGUACUCUUGGGAAUCUUAAGCUGCCAUGUAAGAAGUUUGGUUGCCACUGAAGAGAUCACAUGGCAAAUCCACAUGAGGAGAAGCCCUGAGAUUACAUGGAAUGAGAGAGAGAGAGAGAUAGAGGAGAGGAGAGAGGAGAGAGAGGAGGGUAGGGGAGGAGGGAGAGAUCAAAUUGGCUGAAAACAAUAGCUGACCCCAGGCCCAGCUUUCCUGUAGCUAAAUGCAGCCACAAAAGUGACCACUGUAAAGACCAGCAGAAGAACUGCUCAGUUGAGCCCCAAACCAGAUUCCAGAACUGUGAGAAAAUGGAAUGAUUGUCAUUUUAAGCCACUAAAUUUGGGGGCGGUUUGUUAUGCAGCAAUAGCUAACCAAAUAGAAGUUAGCUCUCAGAUGUGGUUUCUUCUGUAACAAGAACACAAAGCUAGUGGCCAUGGCUUUUGGCCUGGGUGGUGAGUAGAAGCUGGAGGAGGCUCCAGGAGACUUAGUGAAGGCUGGAAGGGCAGUGAGCAGUUGGUAUUAGAGUCUGGAGAAAAAACAAUCUGUGUCAUGUAGUGGUUGAAAGUUUGGCAACAUGUUGACUAUAAAAGAUAGCAAAUGUGUCUAAAGAACUUGGGGAUCUGACUAAGAGACUAUUUCCAGACAGAACGUUGAAAGUGCUAACUGUCUUCUUUUAGCUGUGCCUGAUAAGGCACAAAUAGAGAGAGAAGGAUAAAAAAUAAAAGUGUCAACACAGGAAAACUUUCCAACCCAGGACUUACUGAGUUGGAAAAUAAAACUCUCUCCCCUUGCAGCUUUUCCAGUCUGCAAAAGGUUCCCAAAUGGCCUUGGGGGAAGAAAGAUCAAAUCUAAGAUGCUACCAGUAAAAUGGAACAUGUGAGUCAAGAUCAAGUCACAGGCCGGGCGUGGUGGCUCACACCAAAAUGCUGGUAAUCCCAGCAUUUUGGGAGGCCGAGGUGGGUGGAUCACGAGGUCAGGAGUUCAAGACCAACCUGACCAAGAUGGUGAAACCCCGUCUCCACUAAAAAUACCAAAAAAUUAGCCGGGCGUGCUGGUGGGUGCCUGUAGUCACAGCUACUCAGGAGGCUGAGGCAGAGAAUUGCUUGAACCUGGGAGGCAGAGGUUGCAGUGAGCCGAUAUCACACCACUGCACUCCAGCCUAGGUGACAGAGUGAGACUCCAUCUCAAAAAAAAAUAAAAAAUAAAAAAAUAAAAAAAAUAAAAGAUCAAGUCACAAGUGUGGCUAUAAGACCCUUUGUUAAGACCCCAGAAAGAUUAGCAGUAGAACCUCCUAGAACCUCAGCACUAGAUAAAAGUGUUUCCAAGAAUCUAAAGGACAUCUUCUCAUAGUACUCUGACCCAAAGUAUAAAGAGGUCUGUCACAAAGAGAUUUGUGAGUAUAGCUCUUAUCUAAUGGCAUGAAACCUAAUAAGACUUAUAGGAAUCCUACAUAGUCUUGAAGAGAACUAUAUUAGCAGAAACACAGAGUUGUACUAAAAGAAACAGCUCUGCGGCCAUAAAAAAGAAUGAGUUCAUGUCCUUUGCAGGGACAUGGAUGAAGCUGGAAGCCAUCAUUCUCAGCAAACUAACACAGGAACAGAAAACCAAACACCGCAUGUUCUCACUCAUAAAUGGGAGCUGAACGAUGAGAACACAUGGACACAGGGAGGGGAACAUGACAUACUGGGGCCUAUCAGGGGGUGGGGGGCAAGGGGAGGGAGAGCAUUAGGACAAAUAGCUAAUGCAUGCAUGGCUUAAAACCUAGAUGACAGGUUGAUAGGUGCAGCAAACCACCAUGGCACAUGUAUACCUGUGUAAAAAAUCUGCACGUUCUGCACAAGUAUCCCAGAACUUAAAGUAAAAUAAAUUAAAAAAAAAAGGAAAGAAAAGAAACAGCUCAACUUGAAAAGAGGCCUCUGGACUCUUUCUAAAGGCAGGAAACAGGAUGAGAAAGCUAUUCACCUACAGACACUGGCCAUCCCUUAUGGGAAAAGAAGAAAUAGUCAGAAAGCAGAGUAAGGAACCAUGAAGAACCACUCCCUAGGAACAUAACUGUCCCUGGAGCAGGGGUAAUUGGUGAUAUAUGCCUGUCUGGACUUCAGAAUUGCUGUGGACUGGCAAGUCCUGCAUUCCUUCCAUUCUCCUUCAUUUAGAUGAGAGUCUGCUGUGAUUAUUGUAUGCUGGUCUCACUGGUAUAUGGGGCGAAACAAUUUGUCUUCAGAUCUAGAAGAAAUAUACCCAAGGAGUCUUAUCUACACCUGGACUUGGUUUAGAUGACAAGAUCUUGAACCUUGAGCCAGACUGCUGCUGUAAUAUGGCAAUGGAGAAUCACCAGAUAAUUUUGCAUGGGGCAAUGACAUGGUUAUAUUUCCAUGUGAUGUCUUAUUUGGCUUGGAAAUCAGGUGCUGCUUCCCAGAGGAGGUAUCAGUUAACCUAGGACUGAAAGGAUGGAUUGGAUGUCACCCAGGGACGAAGCGACUGUGACAAGAUACAAGCACAGGGAUCCCAUGAGCUUGGCAGGAGUGUGUGAUCUCACUGCAUAGGUACAGACACAGCACUAAUGGAGGCUGAGCACAGAUGGCAGAACUGGAGACAAGCUCCCGGGAACCCAGGUCCCUGGGAGGUGGCCCUGGCCUGUGGGCUGGGGGAAGAAAGCUCCCAUGUUGUGAGGCAUAAAAAGGCCCACAUGUCAAAGAACUACAGCCUGCCAGCGACCACGUGACUGAGCUUGGAGGUGGAUCAUCCCUCAGGGAAGCCUUGAGAUGACAGCAGGCUGGGAGGGAUGCUCAGCCAGGACCAUGCAGCCAUGCUGCUCCGGCAUUCCUGAACCACAGAUGCUGUGAGAUGACAUUUUUUUCCCUCUACAUGUGUCAGCACUUCCCAGAUGUGAUGAUGGUAUUUGAAAGAGCAUGAUCUGGAAAUCCUGAGCCGUGCUGCCACAAGAAAAUGGAUGCACAGAGGACAAGGCCAGGCAGCGCAGGUCUUCAUUACACUGAGACUUUGCCUGAGUCCCAUGGUGCCCCAGUGCCCUGGCCUGGGCACAUCAGCACUGCCUUCUGUCCAGGCCCCAUGAGUCUCAGAUGGUGGACCCUGGUGACGGAAGGCUGGGUAGAUGCCAUGGACCUUUCCAUAGGUCAUAGCCACAGCUGAGCACUUGGUGUCUUACUACUCAGUGGAGAGGAGAAGUGUGCUGAAGGGUGGUAAGAGAGUGUGUCCAGGGGCCCAGACCAGAGUGGGCCAUGCCUCAUCUAGAGAGCAAGCAUCUUCCAGAAAGGAGAGCCCUUGGGUCCUUUUACAGAAGCAAUCAGAAAAACAUCGGGAAUCUCCCAGAAGACUGAAUGUAAGAGGACGAAGGGUCCGGGCACAGUGGCUCAUUCCUGUAAUCCCAGAACUUUGGGAGACUGAGGUGAGUGGAUCACUUGAGGUCAGGAGUUCGAGACCAGCCUGAACAACAUGGUGAAACCCCAUCUCUACUAAAAAUACAAUAUUAGCUGGGCAUAGUGGCGCAUGCCUGUAAUCCCAGCUACUCAGGAGGCUGAGGCAGGAGAAUCGCUUGAACCCAGGAGGAGGAGGUUGCAGUGAGCCGAGAUUGCAUCACCGCAUUCCAGCCUGGGCAACAAAGCAAGACUUCAUCACACACACACACACACACACACACACACACACACACACACAAACGAAACAACAACAACAACAAAACCAAAAAAAAAGAAAAAGAAAAGUCAGGUCUGGGGAGCUGAAGUGGCUGACAGAGGAGGAGGAGAAUUAUCUGCAGUGCUUCCCAAAUUCAGGACACUCACCCAGUGCAUCUCAAAGCCUGAGUCCUCAUAUCUCUUCUGGGGAAAGGAGAGAAAGAAUUGCUGGUGGAUUCUGCUGUGUUUUGCCUUGAGGUCAUUAUGGGCAAAAUUUCACACCUAUAAGGCCCAUUGCUGAGGAGGGAGUGGACCUCUGUGAUUCCUCUUGAGCAAAGGAAUAAACAUCCUAAGUUUGUGAGUAAAGCGUCCAUCACAUUCUCUGGAGCCAUCACUGCUGUUUGGAGAGGUGGGAGUUGAGAGAGGCCAUUACUGGGCAGAACCUGAGUUUUCACUUGAAGAUUCGUCCCUUAUGAAUCCAGCCCCUAGAAAACAGAGCAGCCAGCAGGCCUGUGACAUUUCAGUUUGGCUAUAAAAACUACAGGUUAAUAAUAAAACUCUUUUCUGGUUUUAAAAUUAUAUUCACGUGCAUCAGCUCACAUUUCUGAAAAAGCACUUAGGACAGCACCUGAGGCAACUUAAGCAUCAUAUAAAUGUUGGUUUUGUGGUCAUUCUUGUUUUAUAAUUAUUAUUAUUUGUAUCCUCACCCUGGUAGGCAGACAAGGCCAUAGUCAAUAUUAUAGUCGUUUUAUGGAUAAUAAAAAAUGGGAGAGGAAUUAAGUAACCUAUUUAAAUUCAUAUAAUAAACAAAUGGCAGAGCCAGGACUUGAAGCCAGGUUUUUAGGCUGCACAUCUCAGCUUUAACAAAUGACAGAACACCUGCUCUCACAUGUGGCUUUAUUUGUCACCUAACCACCCUCUUAGGCAGGUAGGCACUGGGGGCAGUGCUCAUGAGCUAGGCUUUUCAGCAAGAACCAGACAUGGAUAUGUAUUGGUUCUGUCACUUACCAGCCCUGUGACCUGGAGCUGGUUUUUUAACCUCUCUGGGCCCCACAAUUUUCACUGGUAGAUGGAGUAACAGUAGUGCUGACAUCCAGGGCUGUGGAUGAGGAUUGGGGAAGAUAUUUUGAUAUGAGUCUAGUGCUCAGCACACAAUGGCAGUGAUUAUAAUCACAAUAUGGUCAUUUUUCAGAUGAGAAAACUAGCUCAGAGAACAAAUGUGAUUUUCUAAAGAUUUGGGUUUCCUUGCUCCUAAUUCCUAGUUCCUGCCACCACUGAAAUCAGGACCGUAGAUGUUGCUCUCAGCAUGACCAUUAGUUUAGACAGCUGUAGGUAAUCAGAGCCAAGCAAUGCCCUCCCAAAUACAACAAUCACACACAGAAAAACAUGGAACCCUUCUGCAGAUGCCUUCCUUCACUAGCCCUAACCUCACUCUAGUGUCAUCUUUAUUUGGUUCAAGCCCUACCCAGUAUUUCUGUCUUCACCUGGAUUUAAAUGCUCCUGUGAUCACACAUAAGCUUUCAUGCAUCUAUGUCUCGUUUCUAUAAUCAUUACAGUGUAAGUGAACAUAUAAUAGCUGCUUCUUCAGACCACACUUCCUCUCGGCAGUGCCUACCACAAUCAUGGUAGGUAUUGACUCUAUGUCUAGUGGCCCCACCUUUCCUCUGUAGCCCAAGCCACAUAUCUUUGUUGCUUCCUUUUACUUCUUUGCUAGUCACAGUUUGUAGUUGCAGACAACAGAGUCCAUUUCCAUUUCUGAAAGAAAGAUUUUUCCUUCUUUUUUCUUCUUCUCUCUCUUUUCUUCUCACUCACAGAAUUAUUCGAAGGGUAGACAUCUGAGCUCUAGACUAAGCUCCCAGGUCCACAUGUAGAUUUGUCCCAUUCACGUCGAUGCAGUUGUCCCUGAGAUGAGAAACCACACAGCUUUUGCCGUCCCCUGUACCAGCAAAAUGGAUGCCCCCUGUCCAGCCUGUGUCCCUGCAUAGGUUACUUCUGGAUGGAAUUCUCAUACUGGUGCAUCUGGCUAGUUGAAUCAGGCACAUUUCUGCCCCCAAGCUGUGAGGGAGGCUGGGAAAUGUAGGUUUUGUUUCUGCUCUGGGAAGGCAAGGGUAACACUGAUGGAAACUAUCCACGAGUUAAUGGAGCAUUUAAAGUAUUUGGGGGACACAGAGCAAAGACAAGGUGUAUAAUCCAUCUUCAGCAUCCACAUGUAAUUGGUAAGCAAAUUUCAGCAGUUCUAAAUAUGAACACUUCUGGGAUUCAUCUACUUCUCUCUACCCCACUGCAGUCCUUUGGCUCAGUGCUUCUCACAUGGACAAUGGCAACAGCUUGUAAGUAGUCUCUCUGGCUCAGUCCCCUUUCUGCCCUAUCUCACGUAUGUUUUGUAGCCAGUGUUACUCCUUUGCUUAAAAUCCUCAAAGCUCCUGGUUGCUUUCAGAAGUGAGUUUAAACUUAUAAUUAUGGCUUUUAAAAUCCUUUGGAAUCUCAGGCCGGGGGUGGUGGCUCACGUCUGUAAUCCCAGCACUUUGGGAGGCUGAAGCGGGUGGAUCACC
rnacentral:lncRNA from 1 species